rnacentral:lncRNA from 1 species
GCAGAAGAAGCCCAUGGAAGGAGAGAGAGAUCUGAUGAAAUUCCAGCGCUACUGAAGUGGAUAGAAAUUUUGCCAUCGAUUGUUCAACAAGGGACUCUUCCCUGCAGACUUCUCUCAGAUGGAUCAGGAUACAAAGUGCUGAAUUCCUCCCAGACCUUUGGGUCCCAUUGGGAUCUCCUCUCUGCUGGUCUACGUAUUCCACAUUUGAGGUUUCCUUCCAGGCAGUUUUCAGCAUCCUCUGUAGAGCUGCACCCCUGGCUUAUUGGUAGGCAUUUCUCUUGCAGCCUUCACUGGAUAUCUGACUUCCUCACAAACAUAAACAAUCAUUUCACAAUAACCCUGUUAGAAAAGGAAGACUUAUCACUUUUACUUAGAUUACAAACACAGGGGCUUUCAUAGUGACCACAAACAUGCAGCUGCCGAAGACUGAUUGACUUUCCCGUGGGGAAUACAUUGUGUUCUUGUCUGGAAGAGAUGAAUCUUUCCCGAGCGGGUGGAGGUUCCUCCGCUGACGUAGGGUGCAGCAGAAGCUAUUGGGGUCCAUCUCUGGAGAAGUGCAGUCACUAAUUUCAGUGACUGUUGAGAAGGGAUAUUUCCUCGUUUUGGCUGGUGAGUGUGCAGGGUUAGUUUAAUAAAUUACAAUGAUUUUCUUUUUAAUUAAAAGAA